AAAAAAAGUAUGUAUUUCUUUUGAUUGCUGCAGGGUAUUCCAUCACAGAGUAUACCACAUUUUAAUUACAAAUUUCUGUAGGAAUAAAAACCUAAGUUGCCUGCAACUCUGUCCCUGCAAAUAAUGCUGCUAUGACUACUGUCAAUACUUGAGCCUUGGUUUGGAGCCAUUUUCCAAGGUUGCUCCAAACGUUUCCUGCAUUCUGAUUUCAUGCCCUUAUUUAAAACUUUCCUACACUGUAUCAGAGUUAGUCUGUUUGACCAACAUUAUAUGGUAGUGAUGGCAUGGAAAUUCCUAGACUAAGCCCAUGUAAAAUACAUUGUUGCUUACACCUUGUUCUCUUGGGUCAUCUGCUCCAAUAAAGCCAAGCACUGUAGUGUAAAGACAUCCUGCCAGCCCUGUGGCGUGGCCAGUAGCUAGCACCAACUUGCCAGCCAUAACUGAAGCAUCUUAGAAGUGGAUCCUUCAGCCCACAUAGAUGACUGAAGCCCCAGCCAACAUCUUGAAUGCAACCUGAGGCCCCUGAACCAAAGCUACCUGGAUGGAUGUGGAAGUUCAUGAAGCUGGUGUGGCCAUCAUUCAUUAUGCAGAGUCAAACCUGAGAGAAGAUAAAGAUGAAAGCAUCUUGACAUAGCCAGGGCUACUACUUUUAAGUUAAGCAAUUCAGCUACAUGCUACACAACUCCAGAGGGCUCCAUUCAUAUAGAUCAUAACUCUGCUGCUUUCAGCGUCGGGAAAACUAAAACCAAUACUCUUUACCACCCAACUAAGUAAACAUUAGUCAGGAUUAAGUGUUUAUCUUUGACCUUCAAAAACAGAAAUCCUCAGAGCAUGUUAAGACUAAUUUUCUUUAGUAGCUCAAAUAUUCUUUGCAUUCUUUUGAGUGAUUUGAGCAUUAGUAGCAUUAUGGAAUAAUAUCAAGAUGAUAGUUUGUAAAAAAUGAAUACAUUCUCAUUUAUGUAGAAAUCGUUGCAUUGCUUUGGAAUGAAAAAUCUAAAAAGAAUGAAAGCCAAAUUUGCUUCUGUGCAUGAAGAAGAAACUAGGACUAAAUUUAGCCUACUAGUAUAAGCACUGAGGCGACUGAGCAAAAUAUAUGAAACAAGUGUUUUCAGACAGACUACAUGCGGCACAAGUCUAAUUUGUGAAAUAAGAGUAAUAAAUGAAGCUAGUCUGUGUUUACUCAGUCUUCCUUGCAGGCACUUUCUGAGCUUAAGAGAGGGUUUUCCGAAUAAAGCACAGAAAUUCGACUAUUCAACUGAGUUGAGGAAACAGAGAUCAAAGAUCACCUAGGCUGAGGUAGCUAGUAUUUCCAGAGGGUAACACCGGAGAAGAAGGAGCUACACAGAGAGCUACAGGAAUCAAGUCUGCCCUGAGAUAUCUGGUGAGUACUAUACAUAGGGUGAAACUCUCUAAGGUUAGGCAAAGAAUGACCAGGGAUCUAUGAGUAGAACAAUUCUCAGAAGUCACAAAGGGCUAGGAGACAUUUGAUUUCUGAACAUCCAAAAUAAACAAUCCUCAUGAAACUCCCAGGACAUUGAGUAGAAACAAGAGUCAUAUCUCAGUAGUAGGAAUAAAUCAGCCCUAGAGAAAAAGUUACUACAUACCUGCCUGUGACCAUUAAUCGUGAUAUGUCAACUAGAUUAAGAAAUGCCUAAGACAUAAAUAAAGUGCAGUUCUGGAUGUGUCUGUGGGUGGAUGACAUGUAGACCAGCAAAUGGGGGGAAGACUCAGAUAUGAGUGGCACUACCAACAGGCUUCUAGCCUAGAUGGAAUAAAAAAUGAAAGAAGAAAAAUAAUGCCCAUUCUGAACAACUUCAGUCUUCUUCAGCAGGUGCACCUUCCUGUUGUCUUUGGAUAUUUGUCUCCAGUUUCUUCGACCUUUCAGCAGAGUCACACUAGGGACUCUCAAGUCACCUUUGAGGCCUUCAACUUUAGACUACUGCUGUGUCCUUGAUAACCUCAUGUUCUGCAGUUUCCAUCUUCUUCAGCUCAGCAGCUACUGGAUCCCUGACUCUCCAGCAUGCAGUCAGUCAUUGCGGACUCUCCUGCCUCUGAUCCUGUGAGCCUACUCAAUAAAUGCCCUUUCAUAAUUAAACAUAUAGUUCCUAUUGAUUCUCUUCUGCUAGAGAACCCUAGCUAACACACUGCCCUAAUGAUGUUUGCAAACAAGGAUCAAAAUGAUAUGCAAGUAACUGCCUGCUAAAACAAAGUCCAACUCUUUAGAGAAGUCAACAAAACUAAGUGCUCAAGAAUCUAGAAUUCAGUGUAUUUAUCAUUCAGUCAAAAGUUAUUAGAC
rnacentral:lncRNA from 1 species